UACGGGGGGAGCAAGCGUUGUUCGGAUUUACUGGGCGUAAAGGGUGCGUAGGUGGGUCUGUAAGUCAGUGGUGAAAUCUCCGGGCUUAACUCGGAAGCUGCCAUUGAUACUAUUAGUCUUGAAUAUCCUGGAGGUGAGCGGAAUAUGUCAUGUAGCGGUGAAAUGCUUAGAUAUGACAUAGAACACCAAUUGCGAAGGCAGCUCACUACGGGAUUAUUGACACUGAGGCACGAAAGCGUGGGGAUCAAACAGG
rnacentral:rRNA from 1 species